CUGUCAUGGCGCCGUCAGUCCCUCCUCGGGUGAAUUUAUUUUAUACUUUUUCCUUUUUCUCCCGCUUAAUGGCCUCCCUCAGCAGUGCCAUGCCACCUGCUGAUACCCAGGUCCUUCUGCUUUAAUUAGAGUACCAGGUGAGCUCGUAAUGACAGGUAAAUAAGGUAAUAAUGACGAAUAUAUGUGGACCUGUCAUGGCGCCUCCAGUCCGUCUUCGGGUGAAUUUAUUUUAUAUUUUUUCCUUUUUCUCCCCCUUAAUGGCCUCCCUCAGCAGUGCCACGCCGCCUGCUUAUACCCAGGUCCUUCUGCUUUAAUUAGAGUAGCAGCUGUGCCGGGCUGUCCUGAGGGGCCUGACAAUGUUGAGGAGAGGGUAGCCACUCCUUGCAGACCUCAUACCUAGCGACUACAUGGAUUUUUUUUUGGUUCCUGAAUGCAGUGCAGUAACAAAUGUCUUCCGGAAAUUAGCAGAGGGAGUCAUUUGUCUCCUGUAAGUGGUCAAGGAGAGCAGAGACCCUUGUUAGGUAGGUUACAUUAGGUUAAGUUGGGUCAGAUUUGUUUUCAUUUAUUGGGCAUGCUCAAAUAUGCAGUGUGGGAUGGGUCAAACAGUCACUAUAGGUCUUGACUCAGAAAACUCAUCUAUGCUUCCUUACUAAUGAGACUUUCCAUACAGCGAAGUGAGGUCAUUCUGUGUUGAUUUAUACCAUACGUCACUGGCUGUCAUGUGUUUGAAGAUACCCUAAACUUAACCUAACAAAACCCCAAACAGUCACUAUAGGUCUUGACUCAGAAAAUUCAUCUAUGCUUCCUUACUAAUGAGACUUUCUAUACAACAAAGUGAGGUCAUUCUGUGUUGAUUUAUACCAUAAGGUGCUGGCUAUCAUGUGUUUGAAGAUACCCUAAACUUAACCUAACAAAACCCCAAACAGUCACUAUAGGUCUUGACUCAGAAAACUCAUCCAUGCUUUCUUACUAAUGAGACUUUCUAUACAACAAAGUGAGGUCAUUCUGUGUUGAUUUAUGCCAUAAGGUGCUGGCUAUCAUGUGUUUGAAGAUACCCUAAACUUAACCUAACAAAACCCCAAACAGUCACUAUAGGUCUUGACUCAGAAA